rnacentral:rRNA from 1 species
CUGAUCCAGCCAUGCCGCGUGCAGGAUGACGGCCCUAUGGGUUGUAAACUGCUUUUAUACGGGAAGAAACGCACCUACGUGUAGGUGUCUGACGGUACCGUAAGAAUAAGGACCGGCUAACUCCGUGCCAGCAGCCGCGGUAAUACGGAGGGUCCGAGCGUUAUCCGGAAUCAUUGGGUUUAAAGGGUCCGUAGGCGGGCCUGUAAGUCAGGGGUGAAAGUUUGUGGCUCAACCAUAAAAUUGCCUUUGAUACUGCAGGUCUUGAGUCAUGGUGGGGUCGCCGGAACAUGUGGUGUAGCGGUGAAAUGCAUAGAUAUCACAUAGAACACCGAUCGCGAAGGCAGGUGACCAACCAUGUACUGACGCUGAUGGACGAAAGCGUGGGUAGCGAACGGGAUUAGAUACCCCGGUAGUCCACGCCGUAAACGAUGGAUACUAGCUGUGGGGACUUCGGUCUCCGUGGCCAAGCGAAAGUGAUAAGUAUCCCACCUGGGGAGUACGUUCGCAAGAAUG